UACGAAGGGGCUAGCGUUGUUCGGAAUUACUGGGCGUAAAGCGCGCGCAGGCGGUCCUUCAAGUCAGAGGUGAAAGCCCAGAGCUCAACUCUGGAAUGGCCUUUGAGACUAGAGGACUUGGGUACGGGAGAGGUGAGUGGAAUUCCGAGUGUAGAGGUGAAAUCGUAGAUAUUCGGAAGAACACCAGUGGCGAAGGCGGCUCACUGGCCCGUUACCGACGCUCAGG
rnacentral:rRNA from 1 species